rnacentral:rRNA from 1 species
UAUAAGGUUCAGCAUGCAGAUCCAUUUUCUGCCACCGAAUACAUUAGCAUGGGAUAAUGGAAUAGGACCCUGUCCUCCUAUUUUCAGUUGGUUUUGGCAGCGCGAGGACUAGGGUAAUGAUUAAUAGGGAUAGUUGGGGGCAUUAAUAUUUAAUUGUCAGAGGUGAAAUUCUUGGAUUUAUGAAAGAUUAACUUCUGCGAAAGCAUCUGCCAAGGAUGUUUUCAUUAAUCAAGAACGAAAGUUAGGGGAUCGAAGACGAUCAGAUACCGUCGUAGUCUUAACCAUAAACGAUGCCGACCAGCGAUUAGGAGACGUUGAAUACAAAACACCACCAUCGGCGCGGUCGUCCUUGGCGUCUGUCCCUUUCAACGGGGGCAGGCGCGAGGGCGGUUUAGCCCGGUGGCACCGGUGAAUGACUCCCUAGACCUUUUGUGAAGAA